AGGCCACAGGUGGGAAUCGAUCCCAUGACCCUCUUGCCGUGAGGAAACAGUGCUCUAACCACUAAGCAACCGUGCUGCCAAAUGUAGUGGAAAUGG